CAGCCGCCACGGGAAUACGUAGGUGGCAAGCGUUGUCCGGAAUUAUUGGACGUAAAGGGCUCGCAGGCGGUUUCUUAAGUCUGAUGUGAAAGCCCCCGGCUCAACCGGGGAGGGUCAUUGGAAACUGGGAAACUUGAGUGCAGAAGAGGAGAGUGGAAUUCCACGUGUAGCGGUGAAAUGCGUAGAGAUGUGGAGGAACACCAGUGGCGAAGGCGACUCUCUGGUCUGUAACUGACGCUGAGGAGCGAAAGCGUGGGGAGCGAACAGGAUUAGAUACCCCUGUAGUCCCUGUCUCUUAUAA
rnacentral:rRNA from 1 species